rnacentral:rRNA from 1 species
AAAUAACGGGUCGGGGCAUAUACCCUGGGACUGAAAUGAAGUGAAUUUACACCCCUUGGUAGAGCAACAAUUGGAGGGCAAGUCUGGUGCCAGCAGCCGCGGUAAUUCCAGCUCCAAUAGCGUAUAUUAAAGUUGUUGCAGUUAAAAAGCUCGUAGUUGGAUUUCUGGUGGCGAGAUACCAUACGCCCGCGCGUUUUUGGUAGCUCUCCACCAUCCUUCUGUUAACCUAGAUUAGACUUUACUGGCUGUUUAGGAGCCCAGAUAUUUUACCUUGAGAAAAUUAGAGUGUUUCAGGCAGGCUUGCGCCCGGAUACAUUAGCAUGGAAUAAUGGAAUAGGACUUUUGCCUCUUCUGUUGGUCUAAGGGGUCGAAGUAAUGAUUAAUAGGGAUAGUUGGGGGCAUUAGUACUUAACUGUCAGAGGUGAAAUUCUUGGAUUUGUUAAAGACUAACUUAUGCGAAAGCAUUUGCCAAGGAUGUUUUCAUUAAUCAA